UUGCCCUUUAUUCAUCGACGCAAACUGAUAAAGACACCAAGAACGUAGCAUCCCAAACUAUUUUAUUCGCACUCACUAUUAUUAUUUGAUUAACUUUGAAGCUUUACCACACUUUAAUUUAAAAUCUAAGUGAGAUAAUGUCUAAUGCCGAAUUGAUGGGGGAAUGAUGAUGGGGGCUAAAAGAGCUUCAUUCACACCAAUGUCAAUUCCUGUAAAGCACCAACAGUAUACCGAUCAGGCAUGUGCCGGAGGCGGAAAUCAAAUCUAUCGCUCGACUGUCUCUAAAAGGUUCCAAAUUAGGACAAAGAAAGGUCCCGGGUCUCAAGGCAACAGUGGAUGAGGUCCUCCAUCCAUAGUUAGACAUCAAACAGAUCCCCCCAUCUCCCCACUUCCCCCGCUGCGCUUUUUAUCCAACUUUCAUCCCACCAACCUCUCACAAAUCCGUAACUGUCCACAUACAUCCUUGCGACCUCCCCAAACACCUUCUUCAUUUUCGCCACGUACUGCCUUGCGGAUUUGACCAAUUCUUCAACUUUUCUUUUGUCUGAGGAAGACAACGGGUCUUGGAGAAAGGGGAGUAUAGAGUCGAGCAGGGCACCAAAAGCGAGAAUGUAUGAUUGAGCGAUUUUCC
rnacentral:sRNA from 1 species